AUGUUUUAGGAGGCAAAUGUCGCUUUUUGUGGUGUUUAACCCGCGCCCUGCUGGGGGGGGUGUUUGAACACCCCCCCCCUUGUGGUUUUUCGCAAAUACCUCAAAAACGGCGGCGCUUUUUGGUACACCUUAUCAUACAUCAAUGGGAAUGUUCGGCUUAUUUCCUCACCAGGUGGCAGCACUGCCUUCUUUGGACACAGAAACUGUGGCGGCGAAUGCGCCACUGUGUUUUGCACUAUGUGAAGUCCGUGAGGUGUCGGUUCGAGGGACUGAAUUUCGGUGAAUUUGAUAGUAAUUAAUUUGAAUUUUGCUCAGAUGGGUUGUGAAUUUAUAUUCUGCAAGUGUCACAAACAUGGAAAGGUGCCCAGUGCAGUCAUGCUUCUGGUGCGGAGUUGUUAGGAUGGAGUCCGAGGAAUCAAGGAAGGCAGAGGACCUGCGUAGAAGGAACCAGCCCUGCGGAUGAAGUUCUGAGGGGCAUACAGAGGGAUCCCAGUGAAAGACCAGGUGCAAAUGCUGCAUUGAUCAGAAUGAUCCAGAUUCCAGAGCAUGGAUGCUACCAGAAUAUCCUGUGAUUUGAAGUAACCACUGUCACUGCUGCUACAAAUGACAUCAGCAAGAAGGGAUGAAGGGAUGCUGCUACCCUACAAAAUUUACCGCAAGCCAAUCGCCCAAGCGGCUGCUGAGAUAUGAGCCUCUCAAAAUCACUACUUUUGCAAAACAGCUUGAACACCCUUGACUUUUCACGUGGCACGUGCCACGACGGUCACUGAGAUGUAUCAAAAGUAGUCAAUUACGGGGUAGAAGGGAUGGGGCUACCCAACAAAAAAGACCGCAGGCCAGUCGGUCCAGCGGCUGCUGAGAUGUAAGCCUCUCAAAAGCGUUACAGGCCGGGCCGGGCCGGGCCGGGCCGGGCCGCUCAUACCGAGAUUUUUCCGUUAUAUUGAAAAGACUCACUUCGCUCGCUGCGCUCGCUCGCUCGUAAUAAUUGAUAGACCGACGAGAUAUCGUCCCCUUCGCAUCAGAUUGUAAUCAGUCAGUCGUAUUGGUAGUAGGUACGUACGGUAUGUCUUAAAAGUACCGCGCAAAGUGACGGUGGAUCCAUCAAGCCUGACUGAGGAAGGGCCUGCUAUACUUUGAAAGUAACCGAACCAAAUGACCUGGGGAACGGACGAGGAUGCUGGAUGUCACAUAGAGCCACGCAGAAAUCGCCGGUGAUUCGUUGCCCAUCAUUACAGAAUGAACGCAUGCCGGAUGAAGGGUUAAGUGAAUAGUCUGUAGAAACAACAGGGAUGUGAUUGACUUAUCUGACAGUGACGAGCGCUACAUGUCAACUUAAGACCGACAUGAACUGCGUUCUUGUCAUGGAAUGUGUGCUGUAAAUCGAUUACUUUCAUGCGUGUGAAUAUAUGUCUGAA